UUAUAAAUGAGUAGCUAUGUUUUCCAAAAUACUACUUUAAUUUCUGUCUCUUUUUUUCAUUUCAUCGGCGCCGUUUCCCAAAGACUACUUUAGUCUUUAUCUCUGCCUCUUUCAUUUUUGUCUCAAUCUUGAGCUUUGAAUUAGAUCUAAAAAGAUUCUUUCAUUAUUUAUCAAUUUGAUCUUCAUUCAUAUAAUAGAUAUGUUAUUAUAUUUGAAUAGAUGAUGAUGAUAUGUUCGGGAGGGUUACAUACAUCAAGAUCCAUGAACGAGAUGACAAAACACAAAUCAAAGACUAUCGAUCUAUCCGUGAUCAAAUGGAAUUCGUUAACAUUUUCUCAUAUUUCCAUGUGUUUUUACUCAAUUGUUCGAUUUGGGAAGGUUUUGAAUGUUUCUCUUACGAUUGUGAUUUC